CAUGGUUGUCGUCAGCUCGUGUCGUGAGAUGUGGGUUAAGUCCCGCAACGAGCGCAACCCUUGUGUUAGUUGCAAACAGGUCAAGCUGUGCACUCUAGACAGACUGCCGUGGACAACACGGAGGAAGGUGGGGAUGACGUCAAAUCAUCAUGCCCCUUAUGAUCUGGGCUACACACGUGCUACAAUGGCCGGUACAACGGGCAGCGAAGGAGCGAUCCGGAGCGAAUCCUAAAAAGCCGGUCCCAGUUCGGAUUGCAGGCUGAAACUCGCCUACAUGAAGUUGGAGUUGCUAGUAAUCGCGAAUCAGAAUGUCGCGGUGAAUGCGUUCCCGGGUCUU
rnacentral:rRNA from 1 species